UGAUCAAUGAAGGCGGUGUUCGAUCUCGUAAACGUAUUUAUCGAUCUCUUGAUCCUGAUACUUAAAUGGGGGAAAUAGUAUAUAUUGAUUAGUGACACUAGAUCUGCCCCUUUGAAUUGGCUGUCAGUGUGAUCUACAUGAUGGAGGACGUUUUUCGACAACAACUCCAGCGUCAUAAAUACAUCAUGAAGCUGCGUAAUGAAUUGGAGAACGAAAAGAUCGACUACCGUAAGGAGAAAUUGAAGGCAAUUAAGUCGAAACUCGG